UCAUGCGCCUCUCAAUCUUGCUGCGUUUGUACCGUGGGCCACUGUUGUUCAGCAUGGCUUUUGUCUCAUGGCCUUUGAGAGAAAAUGAGGCGGAUUUGGAGGAGCUGGAGGAGGGAGGAGCAGGGGAAGGACAACAGAAGUCAAUGACCUGCAUAGAUGACGAUGCCAAUAGCCACCUCGGUGUUUCUGAUGGUACAGCCUCGAAGCAGAAGACUCUCGCUGCCAAAGCCUGUCCUUGUUUGGUCAGGAUGCUCCCUGGGGAUGAAGAAAUACCGGGAGUGGUUUGGUGGCCUCUUCAUGCUAUCACUGGCCUGAGAAUAUGUGGGCGGAGAGAAAGCAUAGACAUCUGCCUUCCAAGAAGCCUCACUCCAGACCUGAUUGGUCAAGAAGUUGCCUUACCAAGAUGAGCCUCGUUCUGCACAACAAUG